rnacentral:sRNA from 1 species
GCUAACUGGUUCCUAGGCCCGGCUUUCUGUUUGGGGGCCAUUCUUAAUUUCUAGUUGAAUCCAGAUGUUGAACUGCCCUUGACUUUCUAUUCCAGGGCUCCCAGGCAGCAGAAUCUGCCCACAGAGUUCGGAGAGAUAGAUUCGUGUGGCCUUUCAAAUGAUUGUUAAGUGGUGGAAAUGGAUCCAAAAUAAUAAGUGACUUCUCUACCAAAGCAUAGAAGAUUCUUCAUAUCUCCUUCCAGUGGCUCAAUUCAGAUUUUGGGAAGGAGCAGAACAAGUGGAACACAGAAAACGGAAGAGAAGAAAUCCUCAUUUUGGAACUAUAUUUCUCCUUGACUGUUUCUUAAUACCCAUCCUACCCAUCUUUCUAAUGUUUUAACUUUGCUCUGAAUUUAUAAAUAGUAAAGGCCAAAGACAUAGAAUAUACAUUUAGGAGCUUUAUACCAAGAAAUCUGCCUUGAAAGCUGCUGUUCGUGGAGGGAAAAGUGUAGCAAAUUCCUGUCUGAUAUAUUUUUAUUUUUAUUUUUAUUUUUUUUUUAACAAAGACAAGAUUUAUGUCCCUAGAUUUUG